UAACGCGUGGGAAUCUGCCUACCAGUGGGGAAUAACGACGGGAAACUGUCGCUAAUACCGCAUACGCCCUUCGGGGGAAAGAUUUAUCGCUGAUAGAUGAGCCCGCGUACGAUUAGCUAGUUGGUGAGGUAAUGGCUCACCAAGGCUACGAUCGUUAGCUGGUCUGAGAGGAUGAUCAGCCACACUGGGACUGAGACACGGCCCAGACUCCUACGGGAGGCAGCAGUGGGGAAUAUGGGACAAUGGGGGCAACCCUGAUCCAGCAAUGCCGCGUGAGUGAUGAAGGCCUUAGGGUUGU
rnacentral:rRNA from 1 species